UAAAGCCCUAUCUCGCGCGACGCCCUAUCCCCAAAUAUGCAAAACCGCGUACGCGCGCUAAUCCCAAAUCCAUCGUGCCUCUUCUUCUCCCACCUCUUUUCUACCAAAACCCAUCUCCCCUUUUCUCUCCUCCCUGCAAUAUCCUACCGAAAGUCUCUCUCUCUUUCUCUCUCUCUCUCUCCAGCGUCUCUCGAUCUCAGGUGUCGCCGGUUAUGAUAAUGGGAACCUUCUCUCUCUCACCUCUAGUUUUUUGGACUUUCAAGUUCUCUGUUGUCUUGAAAAAAGAAGAAAAGGGUGAAAAGCUUUGAUCCUUGGCAUCCAUGGUUGAUAUUUUGAGCAAAAGCAGCCUCUUUUCGCCAUGUCCCCAUCUCUGCACCUCUCUUUCUCCCAAGAAAUCCUCAUCCGCUUUUGGGUUUCCUUCUAUUCAGUUUCCAUCCUUGAAAUCUUCUUCCGGUAGCGAUUUUCAUGGCCGGAAGAUGGUUCUACUAGAAACUCAAAUGAUACCCAAGAGAGGAAAUCUCCAAGCUUGUCAAGCACAGCCCUGUGUGAAGAUUCUGUUUAGAGUCUCAUCUUUUGCAAUUCACUUACUUGAGAAGGGAACACAGGUUUUUUUUAAAAAAUAAAAAUUUAAGGCCAUGGCAACUUGAUUAGUGAGCAUUUCUGUUUUGGGAGGAUGUAAUUUUGAGAUGACAAAGAAAAAGUACAGAUUUGGCAAUUUAGGCAACUAUGUGUGAAAUAGUUUGAGGACACGUCUGCAUAUAAAGACAAAGUCAUUGCAAUGUGGUCGCACAUGGCUGGGGAAAAUGUUGUGUUUCUGGAUGCUCAGAGAUCCGUGUAAAUGAUACAGACAAGGUAAGAUGAUGAAAUGAUUUUUUGUAUACUAUACUCAUACUUGUAGAGAGAAAUGUAUCGUUCCUCCAGGCCUUACAUGAAUUGGGUUGUCCUGAUAGGUUAUGGCAAAUGUUGACAAGGGAUCGGACUUUGUAGGACAGAGCACAUGGUAAAUAGAAAAUCUAUUUGUUCAUUUUCACAAUAUUUACAUUGACUUUUGUUGGUGUAGAAAAUUUCACUAUUUGUGUAAGUUAGAUGGCUUUCCUUCAUAAAUGCCAGUUGGAAUGCAUUAUAUUUAAUUGCAUGACCAAUGGUAACCAGAUCUAAAAAUCCAAAGAUCUCAAUCAUGUUAACCUCAUAAAGAUGGCUAUACCAGGAUUCUGUUCAUGCUACUCUCACAAAGAUAGCUGUGAAUUGCCCUGUAGUGAGAAUAUUACAACUAUAACGUGGGAUUUAGAGUCCCAUGGGAUUUAUAUGAAUGGUUUGGAUUGUGCCACACGAUGCUUGCCUAAUGCCUACACACCUUUCAUACAUCUCUAAGGUUUUAAUGGAAAAUGGUGCCAAUCAUACCACAGCUACCAUGCAGGGCUGAAUCAUCUUAGAUAAUCAUUUGAAUUUAGAUUCUAAUGCUGUAGGGGCCAUCUGAAGAAACAUUCCUUUGUGCCCUUUUGAGUCUUCCACAUAUUUGAAAUCCUCAAUAGUCUUUUAGACUAUUUUAAAAAAAUAAAAUAAAAUUAGUUAAUGCAUUAGUACACAUAACCCCCACUAUUAGCCACACCCUACUUGGGAAUAGAGGUUAUUUUCAUUCAGUCUACCACUUGAGGUAUGGAUUGGUGUCUAAUUUAGUCCUGAAAGUAGCUAUUAAUCCUGAAAGCUAUGGUAUUGUAGACUUAGAAAGUAGCAGUUGGUCUUGAAAGCUGAAAUUUUAUUUGCUUAAUUAAAAGAACGUUGGUUCGUUUUCGAACUAUGUUGAUUAAAAUAACUAUUACUUUUUUCAUGUCCACAUUUUAAAUUGCUAAAUUCAUAUACCAUGUUUAGAUGGGUAGAAUUUGUGGGGGUUUUUCUUCUUCUUCUUCUUCUUCUUUUUUUUUUUAAUUACCAUGCACCUAAAAUGAUUUCUUUCAUUAGUUGUAAUUGUUGUUUUCAAGAAUCUAGCUUAUGGCUGAUAUUGCUGAACUUUCAAGGAUGUGCUAGGUAUACUGUGCACCCACAUUUGAAACCACCCCUCUAGGAAGCGGAGUCUUCAACAGUUUGAGCAGUGGGGCCUAUGGUUUUAAUGAUCCUGUCAUCAGUUUGUUUGGGCCACAAUAUGUAUGGGCAGUCACCCGAGCUGGAGGGUUACGAAUUUGCUUUCUUCAUUUUAUCCAUGGCAAGUGUUACAUGUAUAUCUGUUCAUCACAUUCGACACAUGUAAAAAGGUUAUCUAAUGAUCCUAUACUAUAUAUAACUCUAGUAGUUGGAUUUUGACAGUGGUUGUUUGUUUCAGUACUUGAUUUAAUUUCUGACCAGUAAAUAUUGCUUAUCAACAGGGGUUGGCAAAGUAUGGUUCCAUUAGUUGGUGAAGGUUAUAGAUAUGUUUACUUGUGAACUAUAUCAUUGAUGAAAAGUUUAAAACAAGAGUACAUUCGUGGAAUCAGUGCAUGGAAUUUUAAUCUGGAGGAUUUGAAAGCUCAAGCUACCAUUUUUCAAGGUACUUGAAGCGAACAAAAGAUUAUGUUGACAGAAAAGCAUUCUAUAAAACCAUUCUAUAAAAGUAUAUGAAGGACAAAGAGGGUGCAUGAUUGGUGUAAAAAUAGGCACUGACUUAGAGGAGUUGAUUUAUCAAGGCAUGUACUAGCAAUGAAUCCGAGGAAGGAAAUCAAUGCGGUGCUGAAGAAGGAAUCCGAUUACUUUGGCAACAUUGUGAUUUUGCCAUUCAUGGACCGUUAUGAGUUUGUGGUUCUUAAAACCAUUGCCAUCUGGAUUUAUCCAGUAACUUGCUAUAUGGGGAUAUUCCGUUCUCGACAUCUAGGCUCAAACAGUUUGCUAUAUGGAGAUAUUCCGGUAACUUACUAAGUAGGACCUUGAAAUGAAACCCACCUUUGUUCCUAAGUCUGUCAAGGCUAUUGCCAUGUUAUUCUUGGCAAUCUCAAAAUUUAGAGACACUGUCAAACAAUUGACACAGCAGAACAUCCAUCACUAAAGAUAAAUAUCAAUCAAAAUGCAUCAAGAGUCAUGCACUAUUUACGACUACAAAUAUGAGAGCCUAUAAGCAGUGGACUACCUCUCGUAGCGAGCAAUAGCUGAUUCCAAGUCCCCAUGGUUUUUAUAUAUAAUACCCAUGUUGCAAUAUGCUUCUGCAUACAUAGGCCUUUGUAGUGCAACUUUCUCAUAGUAGUUAAGAGCCAAAUCAUAUUGCAUCAUCUCACAAUAGACCACCCCAAGGUUGU